GUGCUCGCUUCGGCAGCACAUACACUAAAAUUGGAAUGAUACAGAGAUUAGCAUGGCCCCUGCCAAGGACGACACGCAAAUCCGUGAAGCGUCCUAUAUUUCU